CCUACGAGUGGCAGCAGUGAGGAAUAUUGGUCAAUGGGCGCGAGCCUGAACCAGCCAAGUAGCGUGAAGGAUGCCUGCCCUACGGGUUGUAAACUUCUUUUCUAAAGGAAUAACUUGAGGCACGUGUGCCUUUUUCUAUGUACUUUAUGCAUAAGGAUCGGCUAACUCCGUGCCAGCAGCCGCGGUAAUACGGAGUCUCCGAGUGUUAUCCGGAUGUAUUGGGUUUAAAGGGAGCGUAGAUGGGUUGUUAAGUCAGUUGUGAAAGUUUGCGGCUCAACCGUAAAAUUGCAAUUGAUACUGGCAGCCUUGAGUACAGUUGAGGUAGGCGGAAUUCGUGGUGUAGCGGUGAAAUGCUUAGAUAUCACGAAGAACGCCGAUUGCGAAGGCAGCCUACUAAACUGCAACUGACAUUGAUGCUCGAAAGUGUGGGUAUCAAACAGGAUUAGAUACCCCAGUAGUC
rnacentral:rRNA from 1 species